GCCUUCCCUCCCAGCAGCAAAAGCAGUCAGAGGACGAUGUUCCCUAGUCUAAUCUGCUCUUUCCUUCCUUCAUUCAUUCAAUCAAUCAUUCACUCAGCUGGCCAGCAGACACUGGAUGACCACCCCUGGGCCAGGCCUUGUGGCAAAUGCUACAGUAAUGACCAGACACAUCACACCCGCCUUCUAGAAGCCCUCUCUCACAAACCGGAUCAACUGCUAUGAUAAAGGUAAGACAAGGAACAGUGUUGAGGAAGGCAGGAAUAAACAACUACAGCAGGGUGGUCAGAGAAGGCUACACAGAGUUGAUUGCACUGGACAUCAGAGGUUGAGGAAGAAUGUUCUUGGAAGAAAAGGUAGGAAGAUCAUGUCUUCCAGUGGAGGUGUGAGACAGCCUCGUCCAUUCAGGGAUGUGCAGGCGGAACAGGCAUCUUCUUCCAGGGGGCGAGAGGUGGCAGGAGGUGAGACCACAGCCUCAGUCAGGGGCCAGGUCAAGGAGGACCUGCCAGCGGAGCUUGGGAGGUGAUAAGGCACUGUACCAUGGUUAGGUUUGCUCUUAGAAAGGCUACGCUGCUGGAUGGGGAGGAGGAGAGAUUGAAAUGGCAAGUUUGAAGAGGAGGCCACUUGAUGGUCACUGGCCAUGGCUCAGGCAAAAGAGGACACGGGCCCGAACAGAGGCAAUAGCAGUGGGGAUGGCAGGGAAGGGACUGCCUAAAGGAUUGAGAGCUUUUUGGUAUUCCUUAGAUGCGGGGAGUGAGUCGACAGGUGGGUCCCAGGUUUCUGGCUUAACUGGCUGAAUCAGUGGUGUAGUCCUACAGUGAGAAGGGUGUAGCAGAACACUUUUGGUUGAAAAUGUCUGAAAAACUAGUCAAACUGACCUUUAAGAAAAGGGAAGAGGAGUGCAGUGUUCAUAUAACUGAACAGUAUGAGGGUCAUAUGAUCAGCAUUUCCUCCCCCCAUCUCCCGACUCAAGUACUUUGUGCUGACUCCAUUCUUGACAGCUCGUCCCAUAUCUUUUCAAGAUGGCUGCCAGCACCUCUCUGAACUACAUCCUUCCAGGUUUGAAUUCAACAAAAACACACAAGAGCUUGUGUCCAGGCAUUCCCAUGAAUAGUCUGAGAUUUGCCCUGAUUGGACCAGCUUUGGUCACAUGCUCACCUCCAGCCAAUCGCUAUGGCUUUGCUAAUUGACUUAGACCUAAUCCAUGAGCUCCACCCCUUAAGCUUUGGUGGAGCCACAGAAACUGUAGGGACUAAGAGGCAAAGGAGUGGACCCCAAAGAAAUACUCAGGCUCUUGCUAGGACAAAGGGAAAGAAAUAGAUGCCAGUGAGAUAGACCAGAUUUUUUCAGCUUUGUGGGCAGCACGAGAGAAAGAAUAGUAGGUUAGGGGAGGACAAGAUGAUGAGUCCAGAUUAGAAGGUGUUGUGUUUGCAGGCUCUGUGGUGCAAGCAGGGGAGAUGGUCAGCAGGCAGUCGGGUAGGGAGAGACCCAUGCUGGAGAGGGAUCUGGAAUUGCCAGUGUGUAGGUGGUGAGUGAGAAGCUGAAGAAGACAAUAAUGAUGCAGACUUUGGAAACCAUUCUGGACUCCCUGCUUCAGGAACUGCAAGUUUGAUCUAGUAAAAGUCUCUUGCUUUCUUUGCUCUUUAGGAUUAGGCAGUGGAACAGUCCUUGUGAUCCUGAAGUUAGCAAUGCCCUAGCCUCCUUCUUUCAACACCAGCUCUCACUUCUUGUCUUAGAUUGCUUUGCACCUUCCUGUCCCUUAGUUGAUGUCAGGACCUGAAUAUAUUUGAUAGUGAAUUGAAGCACUGAUGCUACAAAUGAAAGAGAUUGAUGCUGGGCCCUGGGACCAGGACAUGUGACAGAGCCAGAGUCCUUCAGGGCUGAUGGGCAUGUGCUAGGACUGACACAGGCUAACAUCUCCCAAGAAGACGUAAGGACAAGCAACUCCAAGUGGGGAUGACAUUGAUGACUCUUCCACCUCUCCUCUAAGAGGCAACAUACAUGGCUGGACAGUGAGAUUGUGUUAAUGUGGAUUAUUCCUCCACAAAUAUGCAUUCUUCUCCUCUCCAUUGUGAAUAGAGUGUAAGUACUUACCCAUUGAUGCUGAGCUUAGUAACAUGACUUCCUUUGGAAAGUUAGUAGAAGGAAUAAGCAGAAACCUUUUAUUUGCUUGCAUUGUUUGGUUUCCUUCUUUUCAUGAUUCACCAUUAGAAGAACCCACCCAGGUAAUCACUGCUUGCUCGGAUCCCAGCAAAUUCUAGAUCCCAGAACUAGUGCUCUUAGAGCCAAGGCCAGCUGAUCCAAGUAUGGACCACUGCUCAGAUGAGCCGAGCCUGAAUUUGGGAGUGGUUGUUACAGAGCAUUACCCUGGCAAUAACUGACUGAUGCAGAGAUGUAAAUAGACAUCACUGGUGGAGCCCCCAGGAAAGCUCUUUAACAGAAGACAGACUCAGCUGGCAGGUUUCCCGUCUCCUUGAAUGAAGACAGGCUCAGUGCUUGGAGGGGUGAGAGGAGGCAGCCAUCUUACAACCACAGGUCACAGGAAGACACUAAACAAGGCCGUGUGGAAAGAUAGAAGGAGCCUCCAUCCCUCAGCACCACAGAGACAUUGUAUCAGCCUAGAAAUGCCUAAAUCUGAACUUCCUCUUACCUAAGAAAAAUAAAAAGACAAUGCAGCUGGAGAGGAUCAUGCUCCCGUCUCUUGGACCACCUCCACCUGCACCCUCAGAAGACAGAGAGCAGACACCUGACAAAGAACCAACUACUCCAAUGGAAAGUGUCGCCGAGAGCCUUGGAAGUCUGUGAGGUGGGGAGGAAGUUUUUCACCCCAGCAUUAGGGCAAGGAUUCCCUCUGGGGAACACAAAAGGAUCUUUUCAAUCCAAGAAAGCUAAUUAGAUAGAUAGAUAGAUAGAUAGAUAGAUAGAUAGAUAGAUAGAUAGAUAGAUAGAUGCCUGGCCUCAUUCUUCAAAGUGUGGCCAAUCUCACCAACACAGUGAGAUUGGCUUUUAAUUAAGAAAACAGCCUUGAGUUGGUUUCUAAAAGGCAGACUCUUAGAGUGAGAGGCAGGGGCAGGUGAUGGGACAGACGUUGGAAC
rnacentral:lncRNA from 1 species